rnacentral:rRNA from 1 species
GACGAACGCUGGCGGCGUGCUUAACACAUGCAAGUCGAACGGAAAGGCCCUGCUUUUGUGGGGUGCUCGAGUGGCGAACGGGUGAGUAACACGUGAGUAACCUGCCCUUGACUUUGGGAUAACUUCAGGAAACUGGGGCUAAUACCGGAUAGGAGCUCCUGCUGCAUGGUGGGGGUUGGAAAGUUUCGGCGGUUGGGGAUGGACUCGCGGCUUAUCAGCUUGUUGGUGGGGUAGUGGCUUACCAAGGCUUUGACGGGUAGCCGGCCUGAGAGGGUGACCGGCCACAUUGGGACUGAGGUACGGCCCAGACGCCUACGGGAGGCAGCAGUGGGGAAUCUUGCACAAUGGGCGGAAGCCUGAUGCAGCAACGCCGCGUGCUGGAUGACGGCCUUCGGGGUGUAAACCGCUUUCGCCUGUGACGAAGCGUGAGUGACGGUAAUGGGUAAAGAAGCACCGGCUAACUACGUG